rnacentral:rRNA from 1 species
GUAAGGAGUUUUCGGCAAUGGGGGGAACCCUGACCGAGCAACGCCGCGUGAGUGAUGACGGCCCUAUGGGUUGUAAAGCUCUGUUAUAAGGGACGAACAGCUUUGCUAGGAAAUGAGCAGAGUCUGACGGUACUUUAUCAGAAAGCCACGGCUAACUACGUGCCAGCAGCCGCGGUAAUACGUAGGUGGCAAGCGUUAUCCGGAAUUAUUGGGCGUAAAGAGUGAGCAGGCGGCAGAUUAAGUUUGAGGUUAAAGCGUGGGGCUCAACCCCAUAAAGCCUUGAAAACUGAUCAGCUAGAGUACGAGAGAUGUGAAGGGAACUCCAUGUGUAGCGGUGAAAUGCGUAGAUAUAUGGAAGAACACCAGUGGCGAAGGCGCUUCACAAGCUCGAAACUGACGCUCAGUCACGAAAGCGUGGGUAGCAAAUAGGAUUAGAUACCCCAGUAGUCC